rnacentral:lncRNA from 12 species
UUGGUGCAGCCACUCUGGAAAACUGUGUGGAGGUUCCUCAAACAGUUAAAAAUAUACCUGCCCUAUGACCCAGCAAUUGCACUGUUGGGGAUUUACCCCAAAGAUACAAAUGCAAUGAAACGCCGGGACACCUGCACCCCGAUGUUUAUAGCAGCAAUGGCCACGAUAGCCAAACUGUGGAAGGAGCCUCGGUGUCCAAUGAAAGAUGAAUGGAUAAAGAAGAUGUGGUUUAUGUAUACAAUGGAAUAUUACUCAGCUAUUAGAUGACUAACUCUUAAUUUUGGCUCAGGUUGAUCUCAAGGUCAUAGGAUUGAGCCCUGUGGUGGGCUUCAUGCUCAGCUCUUAGUGUUUGUGAUCCUCUCCGUUUUCCUCUUCCUCUGUUCCUCCUCUCACUUGUGCCCUUGCUUUCUCUCUCUCUAAAUAAAAUAUUUUUAAACAUAAAAAUAAAAAGCUACCACUCAGGUAUAAUUACCAGUGUUCACCAGUGUUCAUUUCGGGGGUUCCUUGAAGUUACCUGGCCACCGGAUUAUGCUUCUGAUAGAGGCAAUGAUGUAAAAUGAUGUAAAAUGAAAUGCAGAGCCACACAGAGACAGUGGAUAGGAUGAAAUUGUGUGUGUGAGCAUAGAGAGGCAAGGAAUAACCUCUGACUUACAAGAGGUGGGAAUGGUUCUGCUAAAGAGCGAAUAUACCAACCUGAAACAAAAACAACGGAGAGGAACUAUCACUUGCACCUUUUGCGGCUCUGCAGUCUCACCAUGUUGGCACUCACCAGCCACAGAUGCCACACGCUUAGUGCCUCCAGGCAGCUCUGCCUUCAGCAUAGCAUCUCCCAUGGGGACAGAUGAUUUAUAUUUUACAGUAGAUCCUGUGAAGACCGUGGGGAUGCCUGCUCCAGAUCAAUCAGAUGCAUAAAGUCAGAGUCCUUGCAAUAACCAAAACGGGGUCUGAUGUGUACUUUUUCCGCAGCCACAUACCGUUUUUCCGGGAUUGCCAUUCCUCCACCUGGACAAGAAGAAGAAAGAAGGAAGCUAGCCUCGGUCCCGUUAGAUUUCAUCCCGAAAACAUGGAUGAAACCGGAGGGCAGGAAGGAUCCAGUCCCAUCAGGAGCCGUGUUGUCAGGAAGAGCUCUCCCAGGUGGAGGAAGAAUGGGGUGGUGGACGCAGGAGGAGACAGGAAGAAGCCAAGGAAAGCCUCCUCCUCCUCCUCCAAAGCUUGGCAGAGCGGGAGAAACGAAAAUUGGGAGAGACUGGCUGGAAAGGUCCACGGUCUGGGUGUCCCUCUGGGCCACUGAAGGAGCCAGAGGGGCCUUGAGCCUGGUGUCUGGGAGAGGCUGCUGCAGGCCACAUUCACUGGAAGGAGGAGAUUCCAGAGUUGGACAUGAUGGCACACCAGAGAAGGCCCAGGGCAAGGAUGCCGUCAUGCAGGAAAGCACUGGACCUGGACACGUGUUGGGAAUCAGGGCAGAGUCUGCUCUCCAGGAUCCAUAGAGCUAGUGGUAGGUGGAUCUUAGGUAAAUGCGGCCCAUAGACAAUCCCCAAAUUGUGGUUUCUUCUGAUAUUAACCACGCUCCUUUAUGCCUGCUUUUAACAUUUUGGCUACAAGUUCCUCUUUCUUAUCGCUUGAGAUCUGUUUUGCAGUGGUG